UCACUCUGCUCUGCAGAUUGCGUAAUCUCUAUUAAUCUAUUUCCAAGUUCACUGAUUCUUUCUUCUGGCAAAUCAAAUCUACUCUUGAAUUGCUCUUGCUCCUCACCCACUGUUGGAACAUACAUAUCUUGAAGAACUCCCCAUUUCCCAAUGGCCCUCUGAGGCAUGCUGCCCUCUUCUCUCAAAUAUCUGUAAGUAAUAAAAACUGCUUCUUAUUUCAUAUAUCCUUUUUUUUUUGUGCUGCCUCUUCUGUCUCACCUGACCAUCACACCUGAAUCUAAUUCUCCUCCUAGUUAGAGCUUUCCUAGAGAGUGGCUAUCUUGGUAGGAAUAAACUGGGCACAGAUCAGAGAAGAGCCACAAGGGCAACUUCCAGUAUAAACAUGUUUCUUAUCAGAAGGACACCUGAUCAUGGUCAAGUGGGUUGGACACUUAGGCAUUAGGCUGUCCUCGGAUUUGUGGCCACUCUCCAGAGAGAGACCCCAAGACCAAAUUUUAUAUAUAUAUAUAUAUGUGUGUGUGUGUGUGUGUGUGUGUGUAUGUGUGUGUGUGUGUAUAUAUAUAUAUACGUGUAUAUAUGUAGCAAUCGAUGCAUCAAGCAGAGUGGUCAUGACCAUGAGGGACACAACAAAAUGCCUUUAGACUGCUUUUGGCUUGUUAGCUGGCCCUCUCACCUGGCUAACACCAUUUGAGAAGGCUCCAUGGCUUGCUGAUGUGUGUCUGUGCUGCUGCAUCCUACUGCUUAUUGUCUUUAUUAAGUACCGCCAAAACUCCCCUCCCUAAAUUGAGUGCGUCCUAGAAAGUUGGAGUUCUCCCCAAGAACCAACAAUCACCUGCCUUAGUACAGCAAGAGAGGCAACCAUGAUCGCUAUCACUCUCCUGAAUGGGAACUACUAGUCACAGUUAAGUUGACCGUAUUCUGAAGGCCUUGCCCAGAUUCGAAUGGCUUAUUACUGAGAGGUUAAAGGGAGUAACCUGUGCUAAGGGGCUGUCAGGAAGAUACUGGGCCAGUGUAAGCCUUAGCAGAUGGCAAGAGGAAGAUGUACUCUGACUACCCACUGAAUUGGUGAGGCAGUAUCUGGGGCUAGACUUUCCAGUAUGACAAGAGGGGUGCCUACUU
rnacentral:lncRNA from 1 species